rnacentral:misc_RNA from 1 species
AAGACUAUAGACCUGCGGAGUACCUGCGGAGGGAUCAUUACUGAGUGAGGGCCCUCUGGGUCCAACCUCCCACCCGUGUUUAUCGUACCUUGUUGCUUCGGCGAGCCCGCCUCACGGCCGCCGGGGGGCAUCUGCCCCCGGGCCCGCGCUCGCCGAAGACACCAUUGAACGCUGUCUGAAGAUUGCAGUCUGAGCAGAUUAGCUAAAUCAGUUAAAACUUUCAACAACGGAUCUCUAGAU